AGACUUUGUCAGAGGGAUUCCUCAAG
rnacentral:snRNA from 1 species